UUGUUUACCGAAAAUAUCGGUAAAUACCUCAGAUAUUUUAAUGUAAUUCAGAGGACUUUUUUUCUUCUAAAAGUAUGUCUUUGUUCAAAAAUUAAAACUUCU